rnacentral:tRNA from 1 species
GCCUUUGUGGCUCAGUGGUUGAGCAUCCACCUAUGAACCAGAAGGUCACUGGUUCAAUUCCCGGUCAGGGCA